AAGUCGUAACAAGGUUUCCGUAGGUGAACCUGCGGAAGGAUCAUUAAAAAAUCAGUAGCUUGCUACUGUGCUGGGGGAGAUGGGAAAGUCCUGGCUGAAAAGUCGGUGUACCGGUACCUGCACCCCUACGAUACCCUUGUCUUUUGAGCACUUAUGUUUCCUUGGUAGGCUUGCCUGCCAACAGGACAAACUUUAAACCUUUUUAAAUAUCAAUCAGCGUCUGAAUUAUAAUUAAUAAUUACAACUUUCAACAACGGAUCUCUUGGUUCUG
rnacentral:misc_RNA from 2 species